AGAGUUUGAUCCUGGCUCAGGACGAACGCUGGCGGCGUGCUUAACACAUGCAAGUCGAGCGGAAAGGCCCUUCGGGGUACUCGAGCGGCGAACGGGUGAGUAACACGUGAGUAACCUGCCCCAGGCUUUGGGAUAACCCUCGGAAACGGGGGCUAAUACCGGAUAUUCAUGUCGGACGGCAUCGUCUGGUGUGGAAAGUU
rnacentral:rRNA from 1 species